rnacentral:rRNA from 1 species
UGGCUCAGGAUGAACGCUAGCGGCAGGCUACACAUGCAAGUCGAGGGGCAGCGUGGAGUAGCAAGUACUCUGACGGCGACCGGCGAAAGGGUGAGUAACGCGUGAGCAACAUGCCCGUAGUUGGGGGAUAGUCGAUGGAAACGCCGCGUAAUACCCCGUAACAACAGAGGCCGCAUGACCUUUGUUUAAGAGAUUUAUUGUCUACGGAUUGGCUCGCGUACCAUUAGCUAGUUGGCGGGGUAACGGCCCACCAAGGCGACGAUGGUUAGGGGUUCUGAGAGGAAGGUCCCCCCACAUUGGAACUGAGACACGGUCCAGACUCCUACGGGAGGCAGCAGUGAGGAAUAUUGGUCAAUGGCCGAGAGGCUGAACCAGCCAUGCCGCGUGCGGGAUUGACGGCCCUAUGGGUUGUAAACCGCUUUUGUUGGGGAGCAAUAAGGUUCACGUGUGGACUGAUGAGAGUACCCAGCGAAUAAGCAUCGGCUAACUCCGUGCCAGCAGCGGC